AUUGAACGCUGGCGGCAGGCCUAACACAUGCAAGUCGAACGGUAACAGGAAGAAGCUUGCUUCUUUGCUGACGAGUGGCGGACGGGUGAGUAAUGUCUGGGAAACUGCCUGAUGGAGGGGGAUAACUACUGGAAACGGUAUCUAAUACCGCAUAACGUCGCAAGACCAAAGAGGGGGACCUUCGGGCCUCUUGCCAUCGGAUGUGCCCAGAUGGGAUUAGCUAGUAGGUGGGGUAACGGCUCACCUAGGCGACGAUCCCUAGCUGGUCUGAGAGGAUGACCAGCCACACUGGAACUGAGACACGGUCCAGACUCCUACGGGAGGCAGCAGUGGGGAAUAUUGCACAAUGGGCGCAAGCCUGAUGCAGCCAUGCCGCGUGUAUGAAGAAGGCCUUCGGGUUGUAAAGUACUUUCAGCGGGGAGGAAGGGAGUAAAGUUAAUACCUUUGCUCAUUGACGUUACCCGCAGAAGAAGCACCGGCUAACUCCGUG
rnacentral:rRNA from 1 species